rnacentral:rRNA from 1 species
UGGGGAAUAUUGGACAAUGGGCGCAAGCCUGAUCCGGCCAUGCCGCGUGAGUGAAGAAGGCCUUCGGGUUGUAAAGCUCUUUUGUCCGGAAAGAAAUCCUGUCGGCUAAUACCCGGCGGGGAUGACGGUACCGGAAGAAUAAGCACCGGCUAACUUCGUGCCAGCAGCCGCGGUAAUACGAAGGGUGCAAGCGUUACUCGGAAUUACUGGGCGUAAAGCGUGCGUAGGUGGUUCGUUAAGUCUGAUGUGAAAGCCCUGGGCUCAACCUGGGAACUGCAUUGGAUACUGGCGAUCUGGAGUGCGGUAGAGGGUAGCGGAAUUCCCGGUGUAGCAGUGAAAUGCGUAGAUACCGGGAGGAACAUCCGUGGCGAGGGCGGCUACCUGGACCAGCACUGACACUGAGGCACGAAAAGCGUGGGGAGCAAACAGGAUUAGAUACCCUGGUAGUCCACGCCCUAAACGAUGCGAACUGGAUGUUGGGUGCAACUUGGCACUCAGUAUCGAAGCUAACGCGUUAAGUUCGCCGCCUGGGAAGUACGGUCGCAAGACUGAAACUCAAAUGAAUUGAC